CCAGCGCCCUGCUGCAGGAUCAGCUGUAGACCUCUCCUCCUCCUGCUGCCUGUUCUGCUGCAUCUGACUGUCAGGGAUACUCCAGGCUUCAUUACCAAUACAGCUUAUUGAAGCAAUAGUUCCAGGAGGCCAUGGAUUCUAUUCCACCCAUUUCUUUCAAAUUAUAAAAUGAAUUAUUCCUUUGCACCCAGAAUUUGGCAUCUCAACUGGAAAAAGAUACAGUCAAUUGCGAUUUGAUUCAGCCGAACAGUUAUACCAGUUCUCUCCAUCUAUCAGUACAGUUUGCAUGUCCCCACCUGGCCAUAUUUUGUAGCACAAAUCGACGCUAAUCGAAUAUAUGAAUUGAAGAGUGCAAAG